rnacentral:sRNA from 2 species
GGGCACGAUCCGCUCGGGCAGGAGCGGGGGACCCACUUCCGGACGGGACGACAGUCACGUCCUCGGGGUGAAGCCGGUCAGCUGGGCGCGACGCCGCGGGCGACGCGCGAGGUGACACCGGCCGGGCAUUCCCAGCCCGAACCCGACAGCUCACCCCGCAGGCGCAGGGAAGGGAUCG